GGCGGUGUAGAUCUGGAAUUGGGAGGCUGUGCGCGAACCUUCGGCCGAGGCGAGCGGCGCGCGAUGGAGGUGGAUCGCAGAGGCGGCCGGCGACGCAAACGGAGGCGAAAUGCAUGAAUGCUCAAUCAACAACAAUUACAAGAUGGAGAAGAGCCUAGGAUGCUGCAGGAAAUGGAGGACUGCUGUAGAGUUUUGGGGAGUGAUGUUGGACUGGGAGUGGAUUCAAGAACAUAUUCCACAGCUGUUCAGGGAUGGGAGAAGGCCUUUCAAGUUUGAGCGGUUGCAGAGGGAAGUCUACCUCCUUAUAGAAGCUAUCUCAGGUCAUGAAUAAAAAUAUAAGAAAAAGGGGAAUUGGAACUCGAGACAACCAUGAUCUGGUGAAUCAAUGUGAUGGUAUGCCCAAAUUCCCAGCAUCAUUCAUCUGUGAGGAAGCAAUGACACACCUUGAGGUGCAUCAACACCAAAGCCUUGGACGUUGGAACAUUUGGCAGAAUUUGCAUUAGCAGAAGAGGUGGUGGAAACCUCAUGAAAUCUAUCUAUUGCACAAUAAUUGAAUGAAGUAUCAGUGCAACAAACACCAAAAGGUCUGCAGCAGUUAGGCUUGCAAGGAGAAAGUAGAACCUGUCCAUGUGCCCUCUGUUGAGGUUUACUGGAAUCCAUCCUGGGCAAUUGCCUUUAGACGUUAUCUCCAUCA